AGUCACUUAGCUCAGUGGUUUAAGAGCAUCUCGGUGCAAUUAGGGGAGGUCCUGGGUUCGAAUCCUGGAGCAACAA